rnacentral:rRNA from 1 species
GACAGAGGUGCCAAGCGUUAGGCGGAAUCACUGGGCUUAAAGCGUGUGUAGGCGGGUCGUUAAGUACCUUGUGAAAUCCCACGGCUCAACCGUGGAACGGCUGGGUAUACUGGCGAUCUUGAGCACCUAGGGGCAGUCGGAACAAGUGGUGGAGCGGUGGAAAUGCGUAGAUAUCACUUGGAACGCCAAUGGUGAAAACAGACUGCUGGGGGUGUGCUGACGCUGAGACACGAAAGCCAGGGGAGCAAACGGG